UUUCUUUUCUUUUACUUUUUCUUUUUCCGACGCUUCUUUCUUCUUCUCCCUUUUCUAUUUUUCCCACCUCCUCUAUUGCAACUUCCGUCAGCAUAUUACCAUCCCGCCACCUUCAAUCAGCCAUCAGUCAUCAGGCCCACUAGCCUAAUGACCCAAAUCAGCGCUUGAGAAAGCUAAGAGGAGGGUACAACACCUUGAACCUAUAUGCUGAGGAUGAAUUACAUCAUUCUGCACGAGCUGGGGAGGUGGCAAAAGAAUUACAAAUUAUGCUCCGGUUCUGAAAUCGUUAAACAGAGCAAGGAACAGAGGGUUCUCUUAUGCCUUGUACCUUGAUUCGAUGAAUAAGCGAUAUAUUGAAGAGUUCUCUUCUUGUAAUGUCUUCAUUUUGAAGGUUGAAGAAUGUCCUAUUCAAUUUGAAGAAUUACUUGAUGCUGACGAAGUUUUCUGCACAGGUGCAACCUGGAGGACUAUAAGCAGGAUCAAUGAUUGUCAUCUUCGGGUUGGAAGCAAUAGGAUUAGUUGUGUGAUCUUCCACCUGAUAGAAUAGAAGGAUUUGUUGCAUAUCUAAUUCAUGAUGAUGAAUAGUUAUAUUUUUUUAGGUGCAUAAUAAUAGAAAGAGCAUGCUUGCUUUGCUCUUUUAAAUUUAGAUGUAAUGAUACUUUGUAAAUGGUUUUUAUUUUUGUUUUGAUGAAAUAUUUUUAAUUCAAUUUUAUAUUGAUUGA